rnacentral:lncRNA from 1 species
GGCAGAUUGUCUCAAGUCACUUAAUCUGUGACAGCACAUUUAUAUAAAUAGCUUUGAAUAGAGUGCUUCUUAACACUUACUUCUACCCCAUUUAACAUGUUUUGAGGAGCAGAGAGUACUUUGAGAGCAACAUUUCAUAAAACUCAGAUGUCUUAUUUACCCACUUCUUCUAGAAGCCUAUUUCACAGAUUAAUCUUUUCUAAAACGGUUUUUUAAAAGCCAGACGAAACCCUCAGAAAGUGAGGAUCCUCUUAGUUCACGACCCUACGCUGCAGUGGAGGAAAAAGUGGCUUUGCAACCCAUAAAAUGUGUUAAUGUAGGGAUAGAAAUCUUUAUCCUUCCACUGAUAGCGGGUCCAAUCAGAAUGGAUUAGGCCCUAAGUAAUCUCACAUUAGUAUUAGAAUAUUUAAAAACAUGUGUAUCCAUUACUGGUACAUUACCCAUGGAGCUUUAUUUCUUGGUAUUAAGACAUAUCCUGACCCCAAAAAUGUUUAGUAGAAAUCACGACUGUAUGUGAAGUUGGGUAGAGAAUAUAGAUUACAACUUACACUUUUUCAAUUAGUAGCAGAGCAAAAAUUUGAUGGCCAUUUGAAAACUGAUUAGUGAGACAGCAGAUUAAGAAGCCGGUACCUCGUGCCAGGGAUUUUGCCUCCCUGCCCCUCCCCCCCUUUGUAGGCCCGAAUCUGCAGCAUAUGGAGUUUCAGGGCUAGGGGUCGAAUCAGAGCUACAGCUGCCUGCCUACACCACAGCCACGCCAGAUCCAAGCCACAUCUGCGACCUACACUACAGCUCACGGCAAUGCUGGAUCCUUAACCCACUGAGUGAGGCCAGGCAUUGAACCCGCAUCCUCAUGGAUACUGGUUGGGUUCUCAACCCACUGAGCCAAGAGGAGAAAACUCCACUACCCUGCCUUUGAAUAUGUUCACUUCCACUACCCUCCACCAUGAUCAAUGAGAGUGUCAGAGUCCAUGACUCAAAAAUCAGGUUAAGAAACAGACUAGCAUCCAUGAGGAUGUGGAUUCAAUCCCUGGCCUUGCUCAAUGGGAUAAGGAUCCAGCAUUGCUGUGAGCCGUGGUGUAGGUUGCAGAUGUAGCGCAGAUCCAGCAUUGCUGUGGCUCUGGCGUAGGCCAGCAGCUGCAGCUGAUCAACCCCUAGGCCGGGAAUUUCCAUAUGCUGCACGUGCAGCCCUAAAAAGCAAAGAAAAAAGCUGGAAAUGGCAUUACAACAGCUUUUUAUAUGGUUAAAUUACAUAUGAGUCAUAUUUUCAGGAGGCAUUUCAAAACGUAUCGCAUUUUCCAUUCACUGCCUAGGUUUUUCCAGUGCCUAGUUGUUACUAGGUACCUCAUUUCUUUAACAUUUUAUUUUGAGCACCUGUCAUUUGCAUUCAUUCUGACAAACUCCAUGAGGUAUACAGCCAUUCUUGCUCUCAGGUAGCUUACAAUCCACGUAAGUAUCAUUCAAGGUUACACGGUGGCACAGUAAAAUUAACACCAAAAAAACCUUCAGCCACAAUAUAUUGCAAAUGUUUCAAUAGACAAGUGGAACAGAUGGUCCCUGUGCUCUCAAGCAUAGCAGGCAGGGGCUCUUAUUGGAUUGGAUUUGAAGCUGUAUGAGAAGGUGUGUACUAAGCUGGUUCGUGGAGGUGGGUGGGAGCAAGUAUGCUGCUGGCUUGGGAGAGCACAAUUUGUAGCAUCUACAAUUUCCAUAAAUAUUCCCACCGUGGCUGAUGGAGAGCUACCAGCCUGACCUCCCUGAAUGGAAAGUGAGAGAGAGACAUUCCAACUGGCUCUUGUGAGCCCAGGCAAGCAGACUCCACCACUACAGAACAGAUGGACAAGUGCAGAAGACUUGUUUUGGUUCAAUGGUGUUUUGAAAAAAAAGAAUGGUGUGGUUUGAGAUUUCCCAAGAAGUAAAAAUGGCAUCUUGCCUCAUCUCUUUUCCCCCCAUCAAGUCCAAAGUCAAGCACAGUCCUAAUUAGAGAUGAAUACUUUUGAAAACCACAAAAGUUCUUUAUUAUAGGUGGCAACACUGACCUAGCCCCAGCAAUGCCUUUGAGGUGCUUUUCCCAGGUGUGAUCGUGGGAGUCUUGCACUGAUCUAUCAACCCCUUCUUUCUCAGCAUCUCUUAGGAGCAGGACACACAUUUCCAAGACCAUGGGCCCAGAUGAGAAAUGCAGGCAGUGUUCCUAAAACAGAUCAAAGUUUCACACAAACACAAAAUUAGACUGGAUUUUAAACUUGGUAGGACUUGGCCGAUUUGCUCUCUUGGUUGGAUGUUUGAAGUGUUUGGUGGGGACCCCAAGUCCUGAUCUCAUCACUCAAGAAAUGCUAAAAUGCCUCUAGUGAAUCUGACUAAUUCACCAUGACUGCUAGAACAGAGGCUUUGGAAACUAAAGGAGUAGCAAAUCUCCUGCAUGAGAUUAGAGCUGGUAGGGGAAUAUUCUGCAGCAGCUGCUUUGGAUAUACAUAUGGAUCCAAAAAAUAAACAUAUUUCUAGCAAUUUUCCAAGUGUGAAUGCAUGGCUGAUGGGGUAAAAAGGCAAUUCAUUGAUUCAGCUCUAGAAGGAAUAGCACAGACCUCAUUUUCCUUGCUUCAAAUGUUGCCUUUAUUUUUCCUUUUCCAUUUUCCCUACCUCAUCCUUUUUUUGCUACCUCCUCCUCCAACCAUGACCCUUAAGAGACAAACCCCCAAGCUUACAAAAACUGUUCUUAAAAGAACUAUUCUGAUAGUUACUGGGAGGAGAUUGCUCCAGUGAUGUCCAGCAAGAGUCAUGAACAUCCACAGCAAUCUUCAACUGCUUGCUGCAAGGCAAAUUUUAGAAAGAAAAUGGCAACCUGGCCCAGACCACAAGGUCAUGUGCUCCUCGAUUCUCAAUUUAUGAGAUGCCAAUACCGCUCCAUCUUGGAGAGCUGCUGGGUCUUCAGAGCCAGAUUUGCAGCUUUGAUUGUGGCUUUUCACCUCUGUUUGAAUCACCUGAAUUUUUUUUUUCCAACACAAAUAUUUAUCGAGCAUCUCCUCUGGCCAAGCACUAAUCUUGGGGCCUUGUGCUAUUCACAUGUGUCCCCAAGGAAAGAGCCCCUGUCCACAAUAUCAUGGGCUGAUUUUGGAUGGGGCAGCAGGUUUACAAAGAAGAGUCAAAAGACUGAAGGCAAAAAUUCUAUAAUUCUAGACCCACUGCCCAUUCUUUGGCUAUUGUUCACAUCCAUCACCCACUGAUGUCCCAUUUUCAUGCUAAGUUGUAAUAAUGACCUUUGAUCAAACAUUGCACUUUCCAGAAAGGACCUCCAAAGUACCAGACUCUUAGGAAUGGAAUGAGCUGGGAGAUUAAGAGAAAUACUAACUUACCCGACAGAAGGAAUGGGGAGCUCAAAUACUUAAAACAGAAGAAAGAUGACUGAUUUCUGAGUAAAUAUGAAGCACCCAGCUGAUAGCGUUUUGCACGUUACUAGGGCAAUAAAGUACACAACCAGGAUAGUCUUUCAUUGUCUAGGAUUGGUGGGUCACAGUAAUAAGUGGACUUUUAGUUGGUUUUACUGUUUUUAGAUUCUCCCCAAAGAACACACCUUCCUUUUGC